ensembl:lncRNA
GCUGGAAUUGUAUGAUUGUGAAGACAUCGCGAACCUUAAAGGUUGAGAAGUGAACGGAUUAUACGGCGAACUGAGACGACGUGAAAAAGGGGAUUGGAAGCGGCAUUGAUGUGAGUACUAAGAGCCAGUCGAAAGUGCCCUGUAUAUUGACCUGGCGUUGUGUAGAUCUCUCCAGGAGGAGGAGGGCGGCCCUACCCCUAAUAUAGCGUGGUGGGAGAGCCGAAGGAAUACUUAUUGAAGUAGUCACAACGACGACAUCACUAGCUAGGCCGCAUAUUCCAUCGCCAGAUCCGAACCAAGCGAAGUGAAGGAAGACGGGUGUCCUUUUCGUACACUGAGUGUGGUGGGUGAGUCUUCAUGCUGUGAAAACCUAUAAUUUUGACGUGGUGCUGUAUAUUGCUGUGGGCUGCUGUGUAUUGCCGUGUGUCCUGUCAGAUAAACCCCCGCCUUCACGCACUUCGUCGCGGGAGGACAAGGAGACUGCUGGUCCUAGCCUAGUUCAGUACAGUAUAUGUUGUGAGCGUGCUUCAGAUCUCCGGAGAUAGCACAGUACGCUGUGUCCAGCCCAGAGGUGAAAGCCAUCCAAAGCAGAGUAACUGUGCUUUGCGUCCAAGUUGAUACCUGUGGAGAGGAAAGGAAAGAGAGUGAAUAACACGAGGAGGAAUAGAGCGAACCCUGUACUUACAGUACGCUGUGUCCAGCCCAGAGGUGAAAGCCAUCCAAAGCAGAGUAACUGUGCUUUGCGUCCAAGUUGAUACCUGUGGAGAGGAAAGGAAAGAGAGUUUGAUACCUGUGGAGAGAAAAGGAGAGAGAGGGAAUAACACGAGGAGGAAUAGAGCGAACCCUGUACUUACAGUACGCUGUGUCCAGCCCAGAGCCGUUGCCUGUGGAGGAAGAGAAAGAGAGUGAGCACCCCGAGAACGAACUGUGUGAACCAGUACUUACCGUGAGCUGUAUUCAGCGAAGAGGAGGAAGAAGGAGGGCGCUACGGAUACCUAAGACUCAGGCCGGGGCCCGAGUCCCACGCCCCGGAUCCCCGUGGCCCCCUUGCUCCCUGACCUCUUCCCGGCCAUAGCCCAUCUGGAGGGCCGAGUCAGAGUUUAGUUUUAAUUGCCCUUUCCCUAUUCCCCAAGCUAUUUUUAAAUAUUUAAAUAAAGAUUGUUUUAUCACUUACUUGUUCUCGUGU